ensembl:snRNA U6 U6 spliceosomal RNA
GUACUUGCUUCAACAGCACAUAUACUAAAAUUGGAACAAUACAGAGAUUGUCAUGGCCCCUGUACAAGCAUGACAUGCAGGUUGGUGAAAUGUUCCAUAUUUCU